CCCUUAGAUGUUCUGGGCUGCACGCGUGCUACCCUGAUAUUGCCAAUAUGUCAUUCUUAUCCGAAAUGGAUUGGGUAAUCAAGUAAUGAAAUUUCAUGCUUGGAAUCGGUAAUUGCAAUUUUAUCGUGAACGAGGAAUUCCUAGUAAGCACUAGUCAUCAGCUAAUGUUGAUUAUGUCCCUGCCCUUUGUACACACCGCCCGUCGCUACUACUGAUUGGGUGUUCAAGUGAGAUGCUUAGACCCUUGUUGCAUGGUUCAUUAUUGUGCUCCGAAAGGAAAAAGUUUCAAGCUUGAGUGUCUAGAGGAAGUAAAAGUCGUAACA
rnacentral:rRNA from 1 species